AAAACGACUCUCGGCAACGGAUAUCUCGGCUCUCGCAUCGAUGAAGAACGUAGCGAAAUGCGAUACUUGGUGUGAAUUGCAGAAUCCCGCGAACCAUCGAGUCUUUGAACGCGAGUUGCGCCCUAAGCCGUUAGGCCGAGGGCACGUCUGCCUGGGUGUCACGC
rnacentral:rRNA from 1 species